AACGAACGCUGGCGGCGUGGAUUAGGCAUGCAAGUCGAACGAGAAAGGGUUCGCAAGGACCCGAGUAAAGUGGCGAAAGGGUGAGUAGUACCUAGGUAACCUGCCCUGAAGAUGGGGAUAACGGCUCUAACGGGCCGCUAAUACCCAAUGUUCCGUCGGAACCGCCUGGCUCUGACGGCAAAGGUAGCCUCUGUAAACAAGCUUCCGCUUCGGGAGGGGCCUCGGGCCUAUCAGAUAGUUGGCGGGGUAACGCCCACAAGUCUGGGACGGUAGCCGGUCUGAGAGGAUGGUCGGCCACACUGGGACUGAGACACUGCCCAGACUCCUA
rnacentral:rRNA from 1 species